ensembl:lncRNA
CUCUGGCCAGUGUCCCAGCCACUCUGUGGCAUCUCAUGAGCUGGGCAGGCACAGAUAUUGUCUUCCCACUGUGGCUGCACCUGUCUCUGAGUCUGGCCUCACUCUGGCUUCCUGCCCAGGCUGGUCCCAGGAACUUGGCCUGGGACACCUGAACUCUGGACUAAGGUCUACUCUGGUCCAUGAAGAAGGGCCACCCCAGUCCCUGAGACCAGGGCUAGCUCUCAGCAGCCAGUGGGUGACCUCUGUGGGUGUCCUGGGAAGUCCUGAGGGCCCCAGAUGGAGGGGGAGGCAGACCAUGGAGGAUGAGGAGCCCCCGGGGGAGGGGAGGCCUGACACUCCUGGAGGUGGAGCCUGCUGGGCACAGCGCCACAGGUACGGGGUGCCAGAUGGACACCUCCAAGGCCAUGCCCUGUGCUGCUGCCCCAGACAAGGCUCCCACCCAUCGGCAUGCCGCCCCCAUUUUUGUCUCUAACAUUCUAGAAAAUCAGGAAGCCACCGCCGCCACCACCCCCAGAAAAGAAGCCCAAGAAAGUGCCUCCUCCACCGCCCCCGCCCCCGCCGCCCCCCGUGACCGUGUGUCCCACAGUGAUCGUCUGCUGCUGUGCCUGCCAGGGGGUGUGGGUGAGCAGAGUGUCCCAGGGCACCCUGGACGGCUUCUACAACUACAUCCAGCCCACCUGCCACCCUUCACCGAUGAUGUUGUGCCGGGCCAGGGGCCAGGUGAGCCGGGCUCAGGGAUGCUCCCUGGGGCACAACAGCCACUGCUUUUGCCCUUGACACUUGCCCGCUGGGACCAUGGCUCAGAGUCAGGGCUGGCAGGUGCCAAGAGGAAUGCCCUGGACACAAAGCUGACAGCUCCUGCUCAUUGCCCCAUGCAUGGCCGUGGCCAGUCCUUUGGGGCAGCAGUGCUGGGGACGUGGUAGCAGCUGCUUGUGGCCAGCACUGACCAGCCCAGGGCCCUCCCCCUCCCUCAUGCCCAGAUGCUGAAGGGGCGUGCCCACAGCUGGGAGGCACACAGCAGGGAGGCAGGAACCCCACACUCCAGAGCAGCGCGGGGGGCAGGCAGCACUGGAAGGGCCUGGAGGAAGGCAGUGCACCCAGCCCAGUGUCACCGUGAAUAGAGCCAGGGACAGGUGUGUCACUGGGAGGCCCACCUGCUGUGGCUGCCUGUGCACCCCCCCCCCCUCCGCCUUUCAGUCCUGGAAGCCCCUCCAGGGUUUGGAUGAGGGCGUGGGGGUCACUGUGUCUCUGCUCUCAGCUCUGACUCAAAUGCAGCUGGGCCUCAGCUCUGCACUCAGCGCCCAGUGCCGGCCCCGCACGCCACAGGAGCCUCAUCCUUUGCACCUGUCGGGGGCUUCGGCUCCUGCUCAUCUGAAAAGCACUCACUGAGCAGAAAUCAAGGAGCGCCCAGGGCUCAGCUCCCUGCCGAGGCUCUUGGACGUCCGGACCCCUCGCCUUCCCCAGUUCUAGAGCUCAGCCCCUCCUUCCUUGGAUGCUGGCCCCUCUGUCCAUCCACAGAGACAGCCAUGCAGAGAAUUCCCUGGUCUCCAUGCCACACUGGUCCCAGGCUCUCUUCUCUCCUGUCCUCAAGCUUCCCUCUACCUCCCCCUGAUGGGGACUUCUGGUAUUACAUCAGCACGCCCACACAAUCUGCUCCAGCAGCCCAGCCCAGGUUCCAGAGCCACAGGCACCAAGCACCUCCCGCCUGGCCAGGGACUUGGACACAGGUUCUCAGCAUGAUGGACGGGACAUCGUUCUGAGCUUCUACUCAGCCUACCAGGAGGGACAGGUGUUUGGCACCUGUGCUCGGUCAGGAAGGAGGCCUCCAGGCUCGGGGGCCACCAGCCCCGGGCCACCAGGGGCUUCACCAAGGUCCAAGCUCUGGGUCCUGAUGCUCCUGCCCCAUCCCUUUGACCCGCCCAC